UACGUAGGGCGCAAGCGUUGUCCGGAAUUAUUGGGCGUAAAGAGCUCGUAGGCGGUUUGUCGCGUCUGCUGUGAAAGUCCGAGGCUCAACCUCGGAUCUGCAGUGGGUACGGGCAGACUAGAGUGUGGUAGGGGAGACUGGAAUUCCUGGUGUAGCGGUGGAAUGCGCAGAUACCAGGAGGAACACCAAUGGCGAAGGCAGGUCUCUGGGCCACAACUGACGCUGAGGAGCGAAAGCAUGGGGAGCGAACAGG
rnacentral:rRNA from 1 species